UUGACCUCGAAUCAGGGAGGGAUACCCGCUGAACUUAAGCAUAU
rnacentral:rRNA from 2 species